GGGGAAUAUUGGACAAUGGGCGAAAGCCUGAUCCAGCAAUGCCGCGUGAGUGAUGAAGGCCUUAGGGUUGUAAAGCUCUUUUACCCGGGAUGAUAAUGACAGUACCGGGAGAAUAAGCUCCGGCUAACUCCGUGCCAGCAGCCGCGGUAAUACGGAGGGAGCUAGCGUUGUUCGGAAUUACUGGGCGUAAAGCGCGCGUAGGCGGUUACUCAAGUCAGAGGUGAAAGCCCGGGGCUCAACCCCGGAACUGCCUUUGAAACUGGGUGACUAGAAUCUUGGAGAGGUCAGUGGAAUUCCGAGUGUAGAGGUGAAAUUCGUAGAUAUUCGGAAGAACACCAGUGGCGAAGGCGACUGACUGGACAAGUAUUGAMGCUGAGGUGCGAAAGC
rnacentral:rRNA from 1 species